AACGAACGCUGGCGGCAGGCCUAACACAUGCAAGUCGAACGCCGUAGCAAUACGGAGUGGCAGACGGGUGAGUAACGCGUGGGAACAUACCCCUCGGUUCGGAAUAACUCAGGGAAACUUGAGCUAAUACCGGAUACGUCCGAGGUUUAAUCGACCUUGGAGAAAGAUUUAUCGCCGGAGGAUUGGCCCGCGUCUGAUUAGCUUGUUGGUGAGGUAAUGGCUCACCAAGGCGACGAUCAGUAGCUGGUCUGAGAGGAUGAUCAGCCACAU
rnacentral:rRNA from 1 species